rnacentral:tRNA from 7 species
GGGCAAUUAGCUCAGUUGGUUAGAGCGCCACCUUUACACGGUGGAUGUCGGGGGUUCGAGUCCCUCAUUGCCCACCU